rnacentral:misc_RNA from 1 species
AAAUGCGAUAAGUAAUGUGAAUUGCAGAAUUCAGUGAAUCAUCGAAUCUUUGAACGCACGUUGCGCCCGGCAGUAUUCUGCCGGGCAUGCCUGUCCGAGCGUCAUUUCAACCCUCGGGACCCCUUGCGGGAUCUGGCGUUGGGGAUUGGCAUCCAGCCAGCCCCGAAAUCUAGUGGCGGUCCCUCCGCGACCUCCCCUGUGCAGUAGCGAUACCUCGCAGCGGGACAGCGGUCUGACCACGCCGUAAAACCCCCAACUUCUCAAGGUUGACCUCGAAUCAGGUAGGAAUACCCGCUGAACUUAAGC